ACCAAAUCAUAUACUAUACAGAAUCGAGCCCAAACUGAAGUGUACGCGGUGAUCAAAGGCCGUGGCUUUCUUCGAAAAAAAUCAGCCUGGGCUUCAGAAAUUUUCGCCCUUUCUCCGUCUCUCUCUGUCUGGCCUCAAUCUCUCUUGCCCUCUCGCCCUCUCGCCCUCAAUCUCUCUCUCUCUCGCGCUCUCUCUAUAUAUAUCAGCCUCUUCCUCAGACCUCAAUCACUCUCUCUCAGUAUCUAUACAGCCUUAAUCUCGGACCUCUCUCCCUCUCUCUCUAUAUAUUAAGCUAUGGAUGAUAAAUUAACAUCAAAGUUGAGGGAAAAUCGUCGGCGUGUGGAAGAGAAUUAUAUGAAAAAUCGUUUUUGUCGUCCUGAUAUUUUCAAGCACAAAGCAGACGGUACUGCUGUUGAUGAAGAUACAUCUAAACCGGGGAAUAAGAGAAAAGCUCCCUCUCCCGCUCCAUUCUUGAAGUAUUAUUUUCUUUUUGAAUUUGCCUCGGGAUAUGCUCUUUUUGAAGUCCAUGGAAUGCAUAAAUUUCAUGAUGAAUGGUUUAAAGUUUAUGAUAAAUUCACUGAGUUCCGAGUGGCUGAGAAGUACAUCAAUAGCAACCCGUUUAUUCUCAUAGCUUUUUAUCGCUUUUCAUCUCCUGCGGACGCUCUCAUUCAAAUGAAGGCUAUAUGCAACUCAACUGUGACUAAGGAGCUGAAAGGUUUCAUAGUAAAUAGUCUUUCAGAAUUAAUAUCCGGUUAUCGGCUUGCAAUUUCAAAUGCUCUAUUGGCACAUAAUAUAUAUAAAGCAACAGGGAAACUUAUCAUAUGCGGUCAAGUAAUUCAACAUGUCAUGCGUGGUUUGCGGGUGAAAUUUGACAAAUUCAUUGUCGGCUUGGAGCUCGGAGACUUGAAAAUGGCUCGACUUAAUUUGGCACGCAGUUAUCGGGGACAUAAUUGUGGGCGCAAAGAAAGUUCCACGGUGCAAAGAAUUUUUCACAAUGUUGUUAUUGACAACGUUAUAAUUGUGCCACAUAAAUUUGAAGGGCUUUUUAUCGCCAAGGGUUUGGGUAAAAAGAAUUUUAUCUGUACUAAAAAUUUGGUACCUGGUAAAGUUCUUUGUGACGACCAAUUAAUAUCUGUUCAGAAUGAGAAUGAUAAAACUGAAGUUGAGUACAGAGUAUGGAAUCCGCGUGUGUCAAAGUUAGCCGCUGCAGUACUCGGUGGUCUUACUAAUAUAUGGAUUAAACCCGGCUCUCGCCUUUUAUACCUAGGAGAUGUAUGUGGAAGUACGGUUUUACAAUUGUCUGAUCUUGUCGGCUCGGAUGGUUUGGUCUAUGUAAUUGGGUUGUCAGAUGUUGUUGCAAACACGGUGGAGGAGAGGUUGAACGUUAUAACACUUCCUGGAAAUUAUUCUUUUUAUAAGGAUGACACCACGUUUCGAAUGGCAGAUAACUCCAUGUGCCUUGGACAGGAUUACCACAUGGUUAUCGGUAUGGUGGAUGUGAUCCUCGGUGAUAUCAUUUAUCGAAAUAACUAUUGGCAGAUGAGUUAUAUAGCUAGCUAUGCUCUACACCAUCUUAAAACAGGUGGUCAUUACUUGAUCUCUUCACGGGCAAAAAAUAUUAAUUUGUCUAGCCAAGUUAAAGAUCCAUUUGCAGACGAUGAAUGGCUUGCCUUUGGAAGGAAGAUGGAGUUCAAGACAAAUGAACUUGUCAUGUUGGAAUCGUUAGGGAGAGGGCAUGUCAUGACUGUUGGUGGUUACCGGAUGGCAUAGUAGUAGAUGUAUCUUACAAAGUCGCUAGCUAAUUAUGCAAAGUAAUAUCGAUUUGUACAUGUAUGUACUGAUAGGCUUGAAAAAGUGAAUAUUAAGAGACUUCAAUGCCAAGGGAAGGUACUAGGAACACUAGACUGGGUGGAGCUAUGAUAAUGACACUGGUUACUUGGCCUACUAUUGGAUUGCCGUGGAGUCAGCAUGAUCAACCAGCAGCAGCCGAUGCCACAGAUCCACAACAAGACUCCAUUAAGGGCGCCCUAAUGAUCGCAGCAGGUUGUCUCUGCUGGGCCUGUUUUGUCAUUCUCUAAGCGAUAAUGUUGAAAUCCUACCCUGCUGAACUUUCCUUAACAGCCCUGAUAUGUAUGAUGGGUACAAUACAAGGGAUCAUAUUGACCAUUGUUGUUGAAAAGGAAAAUACGGCAAUCUGGGCCAUUCCCUGGGAUACCAAAUUUCAAGCUGCACUCUAUGGUAUAGUCUGUGCUGGGGCUGGUUGCUAUAUAUCCGGAGUGAUAAUGAGGCAGAGAGGACCUGUUUUUGUCACAGCCUUCGUCCCACGAAGCAUGGUUAUUGUUGCGAUUCUGUGACCCUUUAUGCUAUCAGAACCAUGCAAAAUGGUAUAUAUUCCUCCAGUACUUUACGAAAUUAGAAUGCUGCUAGAAACUUUCAACACCUGCAAGCAGGUUUAGGAGCAUAUUUACAUAAUUUAUUGGACUUACUCUAAUGCAGUUAUUAUAAUUACAUCCUUAAUUUUCCAUAACGGAUACAAAGGUCAGACUUUGUGUUCUUGACUGACUCCAAGAAAUACGAGUUGAUUAUCAAAAUGGCAUCACUUUCCUUAAAAUUUUGUGGUCGGCGGACUUGUUGCUAGACCAACAGGCAUAUUCUAGUAACUCUUUAAUUAAUAUCACAUGCACAUGUUGUUUGACUAUAAAAAGGACAUGAGCUUAUAACAGAUAUGCACAUAAAAAGUAAAGAAAAUGA